GCCGGAAUGGUGGAAUCGGUAGACACGCGACCCUCAAAAGGUUGUGUCCGAAAGGGCGUGCGGGUUCGAGUCCCGCUUCCGGCACCA
rnacentral:tRNA from 1 species